AUACCCCAAAUCUUUAAAUAUGUUUAAAGUUAGUUUAUGUGUAGAGUUUGGGUUAAUUAUGGGAGAAAUGAGUUUAUCUUACUUGUUAAUUGAAAUAGGAACACAAGGAAGCCCAUGGUCACACAUGCACUGAAUCAUUUUCCUUUAUGGCCUGAUAAAUAAAAGGAGAGUUCUACGUUAUUCUUGUUUCUAUCGUUUCCAACACUAGAGAGAGAGAGAGAGAGAGAGAGAGAGAGAGAGAGAGAGAGAGAACACCGUAGAAGAAGAAGAAAAAGAGGAAGAAGAAGAAAAAGAGGAAAAACAAGAGGGAGUUCUUCUGGAUUGGAAUUGAAGCUCAAAUUAGGGGACUUGUGUGAAAGCUCGGAUCGAGGUGAGUGAUUUAAUACUUAAACACAUGGUUUUGAACUUGUUUUCCUUAACGAGCUUAUUUGAACAAGUUUUAUAAAUUGUGUACUCCAUGGAAUAAGAAUGGAAGGUGGACCUAUUUGUGAAAUAUUUACGAAUCUAUUUAAUGGCAUUCCCAACGUCCGGUCUUGCUAGGGGACGGCUUAAUGGCUAGCAAGAGUGUUUGAGGUUGGUGUGUGUUUUGGGAUAAUGCAUAGACAUCUGGCUUAUCCACUACCGGGGACGCCUGAUAGCUUUGAAUUUUGAAUAGCGGAAUGUGCAUUAUAUUUGGCUUAUGGAUUUGAGUUCUUUGUUUUGAGAUACUAUCAAAUUAUUUUGCAUUGUCCAUGGAAGGCAUGUGAGUUAAGUAUUAAUCAUUCACA